AGCUCCAAUAGCGUAUACUAAUGUUGUUGCAGUUAAAAAGCUCGUAGUUGGAUUUCUGAUGUGAUCGACCCGGUCGGCUCCGAAAGGGGUCGCACUGGUGGUCUGUCCGGUCAUCCUCGAGGGGAGGCUUUCUGGCAUUCAUUUGUUGGGGAGUCGACGCUCGUCGUUUACUGUGAACAAAUUAGAGUGUUCAAAGCAGGCUUAGGCCGUUGAAUACAUUAGCAUGGAAUAAUAAGAUAGGACUUUGGUGGUUUAUUUUGUUGGUGUGCACGCCGAAGUAAUGAUUAAUAGGAGCAGUUGGGGAUGUCCGUAUUCGAUCGUCAGAGGUGAAAUUCUUGGAUUUAUUGAAGACGAACUACUGCGAAAGCAUUCAUCAAGGAUGGUU
rnacentral:rRNA from 1 species